UACCCACCAUUUGUAUACAGGAGUACAACAGCACAGUGUGGUUGAGACUACAGGGCAAACAUUGUGCUAAGUUAGAUUUCAAAGAAUUUUUGAUCAGGAUGCAAACCAAGAGACCAUUUUUGAAAACAUUGCCAAACCAGUUGCUGGGAGUCCUACAGGAACUGGAUCAACCCAGCAAGUCUGCGGUUCCCAAGGUCUUCAGGAUGAGGCACCAGUGCAGUUAUAUAGUAUUUUUCCCCCAAAGUGGCAUGUUUUAAACUGACAGAUUUUCAGUGUUCCAUUUGAUGCCAAUAUUGUCUUCUAACAAUAGCUUUUCUCUUACGUAUGCAUUUUACUUAUGUAAACAUGUUUUUCUCAUAAAAACUUAGUCAUUUUGCUUUUUAUUAAUGGAAUCACCACCAAGCAAUCUUUAUAAGAUUGUCAUUUAUAUGGCUACAUUAAAUAACACAGUUCUGUUUUCAUACAUAGAAAUUCUAAUAAUAUAAAAAAUUAUGUAGCCCAAAACAUUGAAACAUUUAUGCAUGAAAAGCUUGAGUCACAGAAACCUAGGGUUGAAAGGAAUUUCAAGGUCUUUAGCCUUCCUCCAAGAAAUAUAACUUACAAAAGUGAGCAGAAGUUUUUGUAUAUUCACUUGCCCUUAGGCUCUUAAUUAUCUCCACACUGAGCAUUUUCGACACUGACUUUUUUUGAGAAAGGUUAUCAUGAGGGAGCUUUUCCCUUUCUGCUACCUCACAUGCAUCUAUCUUUUUUCUUAGCCUCUCUUCCUUUCCUCUUCUCUCAGAAAUAUUUCUCUUUACUAUCCUUACUACAUGGAGCUUUGUUUCCAGCUAAGUUUGCUUCUUUCAGAAGUUUAUCUCCUAAUUCAGUUCCAACCAGGGUUGCCAGAUUUAGGAAAUGAAAAAUAUAGGACUCCCAGUUAAAUGUGAAUUUCAGAUAAAUGGUGAACACGUUUUUAGUAUAAAUAUGUCCCAAAUGUUGCAUGGGUCAUACCCAUACAAUUAUUCAUUGUUUCUGUGAAAUUCAAAUUUAACUGUAUUUUAUUGGACAACCCUAUGUAAAACCCUUAUCCCUGCAAACUUGUCUGUAAAUUUCCUUUGCUGAAGUUCACAUCUCCAUCAGUGCACUGAACUACGCAGAGGACCCUCUUCUGUGGCUGCAUUUUCCUCUGCCUGCAGCCAUUUCCAUCUGGAUCCUGCUCUGUUCUCCCCUUGCUGGUUUCUCAGCUUACCUGCAGUCCCCCAUUGGCCACUCUUCUUGAGCUCUCUCCUGUUGGUGGCACAGCAGUGUUUAUUAUGCUUGACACUCCUAGGUUACCUUGAGUCCUCCUUUACUCUUGUCCUGGCCAAUAACAAGUCCUGUUCAUUCUUCUUCCACAGGAGGAUCUUUCCCUCCUUCCCUCCUCGUCUUUACUUCCCCUUCCCCUUCUCCCUCCUGUCUGUCCCUGCUUGUCUGUUCCCUACACUGCCCUCAUUCAGGUUUCUGCCCACCCACUUGCCUACCCAGCCUCCUGCUGUAGACACUCCCUGUCCAUGCCAUCUUGCACUGCCUGGUUAAUCAUUCAGAAAUAUUGUACCAAUUCUACUCUUUCCCUCCUUCAGUGACUUACUAUUGUCUGCAGAAUGAAGUACAAGUUCCUUAUUCAAGGACUCAUAUGCGGGAACUUUCCAGAAUUGUCCUCUUCCUAUUUCCCUAGUGCCGUUGACAUCAUUACUUUGCAUCAGUGCCUAUCACCCUUUCCGAUACUCUCACUCUUUCACGAUAAUAUAUUAUUGAAAACUCCCUUCAGGAAGUUUUAAAUUAUGUAAUCAUUUGGCAUACAGAUAAAAGGAAGCAUUAUUUUAGUUUAUAUCACUGUAUUAGUAAAUGUUACAUUAUAUAGUUUAUCCUAAUAAAAUUUAAUAAUAUUCACAUUAUAUAAAUAGCAAGAAUUGUUUUAAGUUUUCCCUAUUUAACAAAUGGCACACACUUUCUUGUAUUUGAAUUUAGAUAAUUAAAAAUGUGAUUUUUAAAUAAAAUUUAAAAUGGCA
rnacentral:sRNA from 1 species